UUGUGGAGCGAUUUGUCUGGUCAAUUCCGAUAAUAAACGAGACUAGCCUACUAAAUAGUUCGAGGACCCCCACCAAAGGGGUCCAGCUUAAACUUCUUGGAGGGGACAGGUGGCGUUUAGCCACACGAGAUUGAGCAAUAACA
rnacentral:rRNA from 1 species